rnacentral:rRNA from 1 species
UACGUAGGUGGCAAGCGUUGUUCGGAAUAACUGGGCGUAAAGGAUGCGUAGGCGGUUAAACAAGUUAUAUGUUAAAUAUAUAGGCUUAACCUGUAAAAAGCAUAUAAAACUGUUUAACUAGAGUGCAGGAGAGGUAAGUGGAAUUCCUAGUGUAGCGGUGAAAUGCGUAGAGAUUAGGAAGAACACCAGUGGCGAAGGCGACUUACUGGACUGUAACUGACGCUGAGGCAUGAGAGCAUGGGGAGCAAACAGG